CCUAAGAUCUUGGGGCCUUAACUCCAAAUCUUCUCUACUAGGAAAGAUCCUACAUUCAAGAGAUCUUGGUCAGCUCUACACCACUAUAUAAGCACCAAGCCUCCUUUUACUUAAGGUACAUAAAAUUUCUUAGCUCUCACACUUUUGAGUUUUUGAAGAUUCUUCUAUCACUAACUUAACCUUCAAAGGAUCUUUAGCCGGCACCCCACCAGUGCUCUAUGUAGGUUCUUUGUUCUCUUAUUCUUCAAGUACCUCAAUUCGCACACGUGUGGACAAUCAACUCACUAAUGAUUUUGUGCAUCAUCAAUGAGAAAGGCAUUCCUAUCUCAAGUGAUGUUCGAAAUUGCUGGGCUGGAUUUUCCCUCCUAACAGCCUUCUUUUUGUCAAAGAGCACAAUGUUGAAUGUGAAAUGCUAAAAGUAUGUUACCUUGAUUUGGAUGAUGAGCAGCUUUAUAGGCACGCAAGAUUGGUGACUACAGGUGUCAUCACUAAGGACAAGAUUUAGGAAAUUAUGUGAGAAAGAUGAGUUUAUAGGAAUUUGUGAGAAAUGGAAGCCAAGCUAGAAUUAAAGUAGAGCUAAAGGACCAU